rnacentral:rRNA from 1 species
AGGGAAUCUUCCACAAUGGACGCAAGUCUGAUGGAGCAACGCCGCGUGAGUGAAGAAGGCUUUCGGGUCGUAAAACUCUGUUAUUGAAGAAGAACGUGUGUGACAGUAACUGGUCAUGCAGUGACGGUAUUCAAUCAGAAAGUCACGGCUAACUACGUGCCAGCAGCCGCGGUAAUACGUAGGUGGCAAGCGUUGUCCGGAUUUAUUGGGCGUAAAGCGAGUGCAGGCGGUCUUUUAAGUCUGAUGUGAAAGCCUUCGGCUUAACCGAAGAAGGGCAUCGGAAACUGGGAGACUUGAGUGCAGAAGAGGA